AUAUCUGCAGUUAAUGCUAUGGCGGCUGUCAUGGUCCGAUACAUCUGUGAUCUAGGCAAAAGUGCUACUUUUUAUGCUAGUUUAGCUGGAAGAACUCGUUGCGAUGUGUUUGACAUCAUCCAUCCAGGGGCUUGAGGAUUUGAGUUCGUCAAGGGGCUUUUCUGGGGCAUCUGAUGUUCACCGGUGACUGCUGGGUUCAGGUGUUGUUCGAGAGAUCACCCAGUUCGUUACAACAGAGGAAGUCCCAUUUGCGCAGCCCAUUUCCAGCUUUGCUCAGGUUGGAGAGACAUCAAGCGGAAAGCACAUACCUGAUUGGGUUCCGAGGCUUCCUGAUCCUCGUACCUAUGUCCGCAUGGAACAGUGGAACAAAGGGGGCAACCGACACUAAAAUGGACAAGGGCGAAGAGACAAGGCAGCGGACGAAGGCCGAGAGUUCUUUGUUGAUCUUACAGCAGCGACUUGCCUAUGAUAGUACAGCUGGGUUUCGACCUACAACUGAUGCCAGCUAUGGUAAAGAGAGGCAUAUUAGCAACCCAUUUCCGUCCCCCCCUUUGCCAUUUAUAUUAUAUUUAAUAAGACAAUACAUGGUCUGUUGCAGCUUGAUUGUCUGACAGUUUCUAAAAAUUCUUUGCAAAAGCAAAGAACCUCAUGGUGGUAAUAUUUCGAAAUUGCAAUUUCACAAGCUAACAUCUGUAUCUUUGAGUGUUUUCCUACGGCUUGAUGAUUUUCUUAAAAUUCGCAUUGACAAGAGGGGCAAGGAUCUCCUGGUGCUAUAUAUAAUGGCAGAUAAUUGAUUCUUUGAAAGCUGUUUCUGAUACUCCGAAAUUGUUAUUUCUAGUGUGUAUUUCAGCAGCAUUACUGUUGUGAUCCAUGCAUUGCAGUACAGAAUGUUGAUCUAAUUACAUUAUUUUCAUGAGUUUUUAUGCAAGUGCCUGGAAUUACUCAUCAAAGUGGGUAUUGCAAUUUGCCAUCGUGAGAUCAGCUCUGCUUUUCUGGGAUGUUCAGGAAGGCCACUGCUGAUGCCGAUGCUGACUGAAAGGUUCUUAUGUUUUUCCUUGGCGUCGAUUGGCACUGCCGAUGCCGAUUGGUCGUGUUCAUGCUCUUCGGUUGAUUACUGAAGCCAUCAACGUGUUCAAAAUCUUUCUGUCAGAGGCUGCUGGAGUUGCAAAUCUACUGAUACCCACCAUGGUGGGAAUUGGAAGGUACCCCAAACAGAGCAGAUUGUGGAUGGCUUAGACCUGAAAGAUCUGGACAAGCUGAGAGCCACCUGUAAGAUGAAUAUUAGUUACCUCCCAACUAGAAUCUCUGUGUCUGCACAUUUGUUUACCACUGUGAGCCCAAGUUGAGGUCGAAGCAUAUUGAAUAGAUAAGGAAUGGUUGCUUAGGUCAGAAAAAGAACAAAGAGAAGGACGUGGGGAUGGAUGCAGUGAUAAUUUGAUGAUGCAUGAAUAUAUUUUUUACAUACUUGAUGAUAAAAGAACAAACUAUUUUCUUAACUAAAGAUAUAUGAUAUUUCUAAAGCAUUAUUUUUCAUUCCUUUUAAAGACUGUUUACAGUCUUUUUUUGGGUUUCUACCACUGCUCCUUCUGUGGCAAUUGUUGUUGUUUAUCAAUCUUAAUUUUCUUGAAUUUAAUUGGAUCAGAUGUAAUCCUUCUAAAAGUUCUUACACCAUCAAUUUAUACAAGAUGCAGUUUCUUGAUUCACCCCAUAAAUUAAUCCUCCAAUGAUUCUGUUUGGUGAUAUGUUGCUUUCGUUCUCCCUCAAUAAUACAGUGAGACAUGCUUCCCUGUCAAGAUGUCGAUCAUGAACCAUGCAUGCAGAGUUUCGGUGGUCUGUUGCUUUCAGUCCUCGGGAAUAAAUAGAGUCGCAUGUUUCCAUAGCGUAGGUGAAGGCAAUGGGAGCUACUGAGAUGGUGAGAGUCCACUGCUUCUUGUGCAUGACCCUCCUCAUUCUACUCUCUGCUGCUGCUGCAGGUACUAUGGAUGUGGGUUAUGUCCAGCCAUCUAACUCCACCAUGUUCCACGGCAUCGCUGGCGGCAUCGAGUGGUUGGAAACAGAGAUGGUGACGAGCUCAUGUGGUUCAAAUCAGCACAUAGGCUACUGUGCCGUGGCGAAAUCCGGCCAACCGGCGGCCCGCCCUGCCGCCAGUGGGAGGCCUUACACCAAUGGGUGUCUGAGUUAUAACAAUUGCAGGAAUCAAUAGCCACCCUUUAAAGUCUCUUCGUUUCCAUAGGAGUCUCAUGAUCGAUGUGUCGUCGCAGAACCUACUUUGCUUGUAUGACUUGAUGAUUGCUUAUCUUUUUCCUGUGUUUGUUGUUUCACUUCUCUGCGUGGAAAACAUAAACGUUUCGAUUUAUGAAACUUAAUCGUUCUUUUU